AGAGUUAAAAAGUACGUAAAAUUGUUGAAAGGGAAACGAUUAAAGUCAGUAGUGCUGGCGAGAAAUCAGCUUACAGGUUACUGUGAGUGCACUUUUUCGCAAGGCAGGUUAGCAUCGGUUUUGGCCGUGUUAAAAUGAGAGCAGGAAGGUGGCUCCCUCGGGAGUGUUAUAGUCUGUUCUAGAUGAUAUGGACAAGACCGAGGAUUGCAGCGAAUGCCAUUAGGUUACUGAUCUGGCCUCUGUGAAUGGCUCGCCUGUCUUGAGCUUGCUCGAGUCUGGUUGGUUUAUUUACAAUAGGUUCAGAAUCAGAUAAAUUCGCUAAGGAUGCUGACGUAAUGGCUUUAAACGACC
rnacentral:rRNA from 1 species